rnacentral:rRNA from 1 species
CCUACGGGUGGCUGCAGUGGGGAAUUUUGGACAAUGGGCGCAAGCCUGAUCCAGCCAUUCCGCGUGAGUGAAGAAGGCCUUCGGGUUGUAAAGCUCUUGCGCAAGGGAAGAAAACUUAUCCUCUAACAUAGGAUGAGGUUGACGGUACCUUGAUAAGAAGCACCGGCAAACUACGUGCCAGCAGCCGCGGUAAUACGUAGGGGGCGAGCGUGACGCGGAAUUAGCGGGCGCUGUUUUUGAGCAGAGAUGUGAAAUCCCCGAGCUCAACUUGGGAACUGCGUUUGAAACUACAAGACUAGAAUAGGUCAGAGGGGGGUAGAAUUCCACGUGUAGCAGUGAAAUGCGUAGAGAUGUGGAGGAAUAUCAAUGGCGAAGGCAGCCCCCUGGGAUCAUAUUGACGCUCAUGCACGAAAGCGUGGGGAGCAAACAGGAUUAGAUACCCGAGUAGUC